GUAGGUGGCAAGCGUUGUCCGGAAUUAUUGGGCGUAGAGCGCGCGCAGGUGGUUCUUUAAGUCUGAUGUGAAAGCCCCCGGCUCAACCGGGGAGGGUCAUUGGAAACUGGGGAACUUGAGUGCAGGAGAGGAAAGUGGAAUUCCACGUGUAGCGGUGAAAUGCGUAGAUAUGUUGAGGAACACCAGUGGCGAAGGCGACUUUCUGGCCUGUAACUGACACUGAGGCGCGAAAGCGUGGGGAGCAAACAGGGAUUAGAUACCCUGGUAGUCCACGCCGUAAACGAUGAGUGCUAAGUGUUGGGGGGGGUUUCCGCCCCCUCAGUGCUGCAGCUAACGCAUUAAGCACUCCGCCUGGGAGUACGGUCGCAAGACUG
rnacentral:rRNA from 1 species